rnacentral:pre_miRNA from 12 species
GCCCGCACGGGAAAAUGCAUUAUCCCGUGCGAGCGUCUUAACCCGCCAGCACGGAUAAUGCAUUUUCCCGUGCGGGC